GGUCGAACGAUCAAGAUUCCCUAUUCGCCUUUCUCUGUCGCGGCGGUAGAGAGCAUGGACGGACGGCUAUUUCCGCAUGACAUCACACCGCCCGCAUUUAGGAACACGAUUUUCUAUUUUCUUGUCGGUCUACAUUGGUGGCCCGUGAAGACUUGCAAGGUCAGCCCCACCGAGAUGCGCCUGAGAAUACUUUUUAUUCUCUUUCCUCUCCUUUCCUUUCAUCCCGUCUCGCGUUCCUCGCGUCUUCGUCGCGUCAACGGGUAACCUCUUUCUAUCGUCUGGUUCGUAAAAACGUCUUAUUAAAAAGGGGUGUCGUCGUCUUGCAAAAUUUCCACGAUUGGACAGCCACGUUGCGAAACACACGUCGCUUUUUUUCUUCAGAUAAUACAGGCCGGCAAUCUGCCCUUCUUGCCCAACGAUCUCGCCUAAUCGAGAAAUAAUUGUACGAAUUUGUUCGAGGGCUGGCGAACGGGACAGAAAAGAAAUCCUUGCAUUCUUGUUCGCCUGCUCCUGGUUUUUUCCUUUUUCUUUUUUUUUUUUUUUUCCUUUUUUUUUCUUACCGAUUCAUUACUCUCAGAACUACAGAACAAUGGAUUCGGUGAGACAAAGGAGCGGCUGCUCUUGCUUGGCACUAGUACCGUUUCUCGCGUUAACAGAGUUAGCCGUUCGUUUGCGGAAUUAGAAAUGAAGGCUCGCGUGAAAAUUCGCGAGGCUGGCUCGCGAGGGGCGGCACGGAAUUACCGGAAUCGGAAUUUAAUUUCCAUCUCAUCGCAAAGCCUUUUCUUUUUUUUAUCACGAUCUAUGCAUAAACAUUAGAAACUUUUUAAAAAAAACGAAUAUAUAGACAAAUUGACGUCUGUGUUCGAAUCAGUGUUCAUUAUCCGAGAGGCGUUUAUUCAUCGACCUAUGUCUUGCUAAUAACACGGAUCCACGUAAUCACGGAAGAGGAUUUCUGCGUGAAUAGUUGCAUAAUCAUCGAUCAUAAGCUUUAUACGUUCUCAGUCUACAUUACACGUCCCGUAAUGUACGCGUAUGUCAUAGUGAAUUUUAUCGUUUUUGAGGAGAACUGUUACGCUUGGAUGAAAAAAAAGAUAAUUGUUCGUUAUCUCUGGUGAGACAAUUUUCUGCUUUAUCUUUAAUUGGAGUCGAAGGCCCAAAGCCCGAUCAUUUGCUCUCGUUUAUCGCGUGAUUCUGUCAUGUCAGUGUCGGCAAUUUCAGAAAGAAAGGGCGACUCAUAGUUUGAGUUCUCAGAGUUCUGAGAAAUUCUCUCCAGUCAUCGGGAAGAAUUUCAUCGAAUAUCUAAACGGACGGGCGAUGAUUAAUAAGUUUUUAUGGGCAUUAUAUCCGAUCGCGUGACAAAUCGAUUUCCGUUCUACGUUCUUAUCGCGUUCGAGUGUUACCUUUGUCUCACGAAUCGACUUCCGUUCGUCGUCUUCGCUGGAAAUUUUUAACAUCCCCUGUGCUUACGUUGCAUAAAAUCAGCAUUUCGGCUCUUCCCCAUCGCCGAGAAUAGAAAGAAAUAAUAGCGCGUAGGUGUGUGCACGACGGCUGAGAAGAUGGAAAAGGGAUUUCGGUGACGUGGAGGAGCACAGCAGAGAGGAAUAAAAAAAAGAAAGGAAGGAAGGAGACACUUGGAACACGUAGAAUCAGGGGUCAUAAAAAUCCGGAGGAGCAGGUAGAGUAGCAGGAGUUUCGAGAGAUGGAAAUCUAAGAGGGAGCGUUAGAAGAGGAUGGUGAGACGAGGAAAUUGCCGUGAAUUUGUUGGAAAAUCGGGCGGCAAUGCAAAUUUCGCAAGAACAAGAGGGGAGGGAGCUGCUUUCCUUCGUAAGAAUUUCCACGUACAAGAGAUUUAUGCACUGGCUACAGUCUUUGGUCUCUCCCUCUUAAUAAUUUCAAGCUGGUUCGAUAUUUCUUAAAGAGGCGACUGUCACGAACGGCGACUAAUUUCAUUCUUUUGAAAAAUUCCCUUCUGCUUCACACCCGGUAUCGUUAUACCCGUUUCCGAAAGACAUAGGUAAGAACGUAAAGACAGGAGCUUUUACGUUUCUUCUUGCCAUUUUUGGGUACGGUGAAUGUAGCUCCAGGGUUUCUCGUUCGUUGAUUCAUGCUUUACACCGACAUUUUUAUUUGGUUGGUCACCGCUGUCAAAAGAUAUAUUCGUCGUGGGGAAGUGACAGUAAAAACAGGCUGAAAACGUUAAUCCGUCAUACGUGUCUUAGGAGGUAAUUAAUAGAGGAGGGUUCGGUAUGGCUGGUUCGGUCGGUCAUAAAUUUUGUGGAAGGUCGGGAAUGAACGACGCAUAAAUUUCAGUUGGACGGGGCAAACGCGUGCUGGUAGAAGCGCGCGUGAUUUCGCGAAUUGAACGGCGGGGAGCGUUCGAGUUAAUGGUUUCGUAAUUGAAUAAAUGUGGGCGAUUAGUCGCGUAGCCUAACCGAGGCGGUUAACGAGCCACCAUCCAUAAUAACCGUUCGUCUCUGCUAAAAAUCGAAUUUAGAGUUAAUCGGUAGACUUAAUUUAAAUAUCGCUCGCGCACUAACAGACUUAUCUUUCCCAUCAGACACGCGAAGAUCCGAUCUAUCUUCGCAUCAAUUUAUAAUUUUCGUUUAUAGCCUCGCGGCCAUCUCGGAGGAUCCGAAGAGGUUUCUGAAAAAGGAAAAACUGUCGUCGACGCUAGAUCUAUAUCGAACAAGAGUUUUAUUUCUUAUCUUUAGGCACAGAUCGUCGCACGUUGCCUCGAUACAACGACAAAACAUCUGCUUGAUCAAAAAAUGAGAGAAAAGUUUUCAGUGAAAACAAUGGACAGAAGACGAAGAAGUAACGUGCGUAGAUAGCACGCGCGCGUGCGAUGCCGCCAGGGCUUAUUUCUUCUUGAAUCUAGCUUUCUUCGACACCACCACCGCGUUAGAGGGAGACUUCGGGUUCGACUGAUUCUUGUGCUUUUUGCUCUCCACGUGUUGAGCAAACGUACUCUCGGAAUUUAACGACAGGUUGCACGGCGCGCAAUAAUACUGGCCUGCAAACAGAACGGCAAUUGACAGGCGACUGGAUAGACACUUUUAAACUAAGAGAAGAGAAGUCGAAACCUGGUCUCGUUACCUGAUGGCGUUCGGUAAAUAGAAUAAUCUAUAGGUCCAGGAGUGGCGGGUAUCGCUUCGCUCUCGGUUGCUGAAAAAUCCAAUAGGGCGAAUAUUAUUUAUCGGGAUAAGAGGCGAGUGUACGUGGAAUCCUUACCAGGCUCGGGAACGGGUAAUCCAUUCAACCUAAGCAUUCUCAAAUGCCUGGCGCCACGCUUGUGCGUUUCCAAUUGGUCCUGCCGAUUAGCGGAAACCCCACACAGAUCGCAACGCAAUGGCGUUGGAUAAGGAGGUGGUGUGUAGAUGGACCCCGUUCCUGGUGUGGGUACCGUAUUGGUACCGUCAGGUACCAGCACCGGCUGUGCCGGUGCAGAUUGCACUUCUGCCUGAAAAGCCAUUCCUAUCCCGAAUCGGCCGGUGGGAUCUAUUUGACUGUACUGAUUUUGAUUUUGCGACUUCUUCGACGGCCUGUAGAAUUCAACGCUCUGCUAUGACGAUCUCGGCUGACACAGCUAUCUUUCUAAGAAUAAUUAGGGACAAGUAUACAUCUCUGUACCUCGCACGACGUCCCCCGUUUACUGCUCUAAUAUGUUUUUUACCGGCAUAGUGUUGCGUCGCAUCCGUUUGCGACGUGAACCACGUUUUACAUAUCUGCAAAAAAAUUAAAUGCCAUUCGAUACCAUCUUCACCCCCACUCCCCCUCCUCAGUCCCCCCUCUCAUUAAUAUUUACAAUCUUACAUCACAAUAAUUUUGCCAAUCGCUGGUCGUACUACUGACUUGGCCGUCUUCGGUUUUCUGUUUCUUUACGCUUUGGUUCAGAAACAUCGAUACUUUUUUCUGAUGCGGCUUUCCAUCGUAAUGUAACUUAGCUUGCAACGUCGAGUUCAUCUGAAAUUCGUUUACUUUUUUCAGCGAUGCGGAUUUCGUUGGAGGCUUUGGUUAAAAUACGUGUUAAAUAUUAUAAUAUUCAUAAUAUAAGGAUGUUUCGUAUAUUUUUAUUAUCGGAUAAAGUAAUCGAGGCUUACAACUGCAUUGCACAGAUCGCAUUUCAGCGGUUUCAUUAAUGCUGACAGUUCCCUCUGGGCGCUUGCAACUUUCUCUACGAAAUAGAAACAUAAAUCAAUCUUUAAUAAAUUUCUACUCUCUUUGCUAUUCGAAAUCUGAUUUCUUAACGAUAAUUUUAUAUAGAUAUAGAGUUGGUAAUCAACGAAAAAAAAAAGAAAAAAAAUAUAUAUAAAUUCUAAAAUAAAA